GGAUCUGAAACCCAGUUUGGGGAAGAAGGCGGACGGGAACAGUUUCAUCUGACAAAAUCUGUACUGGAAGCCUCGAAGCAUCUCGGAGGUGGGGCGGAUAGGAAUUGGGUGGAAGGGAAUACACGCCGCCCCCCAACUCAGGAUGUCAAUCUGCUGAUCUGCAACCUUUAGCACCGAGAGUCAAGGAUUACAAAUGCAAGAAGAGCCUUGCAGGAUCAGGCCCCCUGGUCCAAUCGAGUCCAGCAUCCAUAUCUCACAACGACCAACCAGAUGAAAACCCGCAAGCAGGGACCUGAGCAAGAAGCACUGCAUUUAUCUGCCUUAUGAGUUUUAAAACAAAACACCCUUUAAUUGAAAUGCAAAACAGUGAUAGGGAUCAGGGGCAGCUAGUCUGCACUGUUGCAGCUAAUGCAUUCUGCUUGGAUCCUGACCCCCUGAUCUAUGUACCCACCCACCCUGAAUUGACUCAAACCUGGCCUUACUGCUUUAAAAAGUUAUAUCUGCUUUGGCCCUGGCACAGCCUUUUAUCACCUCGGCAGUUCUGCAGCUAGUUAACGUUCUUCCCAAACUCUCCAUGCCGCAAGCUGGUUGCAGCACCCCAGGGAAGGCGCAGACCCAAUUUUUCCCAUAUCUCCAUCGCAUGCCUCUGUUGCAACAACAUUGUCCUGCGGCCCCUCUGCACUGCAAUGAGAAAAGGCAUGGAUACAGGGUGAGUGGGGUUUUGGGGGGGCCAGGGAGAGAAGGCAUUUCUCUUCAUUGCUUGCAGCCUUUGCCAGCUCAAAGGAACACAAAAGGGUUGCAAAAGAUGUUGAAACAGAGAUUGAAAACCGGAGGAAGGAGGACGCCUUGCCAAGCUCAGAGCUCAAAUUGUCCCAGUUUAGGGAAGCAAAACAAGCCCUCGCAGCGGGGAGCCUCGAUUGCUACUAAACCGCCGUAAAUUGUUUGGGAAGAAAAUGAACCAGAGCAGCAAAAUCGCCUCUCCUAAUAUGGGUAAAAUAGAAGAGAAAGCAGCCACUCUCCGCCAGAGCUGCCUUCGCAUCUGCAAAUGGCAACACAGGGCAAUGUGUUUAGCCAUUUAGCAGCGGCAAAAUGAAUUUGAAAAUAGUUUUCCUCCCUAUGGUUCUGGAGGUUUUGGCACGGCUGGGCAAAACUCGUGGCACGCUAAGGCGCAAGUCGGGACAAGAGGGGCUUGGAGCUUUGGGACGGCCGAUCUGGAGACAGGAUCAGUUGAAUAGCUGUCAACUUUCCCCUUUUCUGGCGAGGAAUCCUAUUCGGAAUUUCCCUUAAAAAAAGGAAAAUGUUGACAGCUAUGAUCAGUUGUGAGCUGGGCUGUCCCUCUGCAGCAGAGGAGGGUGUGUGUGUUAAGACUGGAAUAGAAUGGAGAGUCGCCAUGUUUGGGGGGGUUUGACUAGGACCAGGGAGACCUGGGUUCAAAUCCCCCCACUGGGCCAUGAAGCUCUCUCCCUGGGUGUGAGCUUGGGGGCCAGUCACUGCCUCUCAGCCUAACCUACCUCACAGGGUUGCUGCUGGGAUUGAAUGAGGAAGUGGUGGAGAACCAUUUAUGACAAUUUGAGCUUCUGGGAGGAAAAGGGAGGGAAAGCAAUUCAAUAAAUAAAUAUUAGUGGCCCUCUGGUCUACGUCCACAGCCUUGCCUCAAAAAGAGCAUUGCAAAGGAUUUGAAAAGGCAGCCCAAGCCAUCAAGGGAUGGAGCAGCUUUCCUAGGAGGAAAAGUUACAACAUCUGGGGCUUUUUAGAAAACACAAAUAGGAGACUAUCUUGGGCUCCAUGAUCACUGCAGAUGGUGACAGCAGCCACGAAAUUAAAAGACGCCUGCUUCUUGGGAGAAAAGCAAUGACAAACCUAGACAGCAUCUUAAAAAGCAGAGACAUCACCUUGCCGACAAAGGUCCGUAUAGUUAAAGCUCUGGUUUUCCCAGUAGUGAUGUAUGGAAGUGAGAGCUGGACCGUAAAGAAGGCUGAUCGCCGAAGAAUGGAUGCUUUUGAAUUCUGGUGCUGGAGGAGACUCUUGAGAGUCCCAUGCAAGAAGAUCAAACGUAUCCAUUCUUAAGGAAAUCAGCCCUGAGUUUUCACUGGAAGGACAGAUUGUGAAGCUGAGGCUCCAAGACUUUGGCCACCUCAUGAGAAUAGAAGACUCCCUGGAAAAGACCCUGAUGUUGGGAAAGAUGGAGGGCACAAGGAGAAGGGGACGACAGAGGACGAGAUGGUGGGACAGUGUUCUCAAAGCUACAAACAUGAGUCUGACCAAACUGUGGGAGGCAGUGGAAGACAGGAGUGCCUGGAGUGCUCUGGUCCAGGGGGUCACACAGCACAUAGUUAAGCUGUGGAACUCCCUGCCACAAGACGUAGCAGCGGCCAGCAACUUGGAAGCCUUGAAAAGACAAAAUUCAUGGGGGAUGAGGCUUUCGACAGCCACUAGACAUGAAGGCUAUGUUAUCUUUCCACUAUCAGAGGCAGCGCACCUCUGUAUACCAUUUGCACAUGGGUCAUGCUUGUGGGUUUUACCAGAGGCAUUUGGUUUGGCCACUGGGAGGAUGCUAGAUCCAGCAGGGCUAUUCUGGUGUUCAUCACAAACACACAAACUAAGUAGCCGUAGAGCAACAAGCCCUGGGUUGAAUUUCUGGCAUUUCCAGGUAGGUCAGGGAAAAUCCCUUGUCUGAACUCUUGCAGAGCAGCUGCCAGUCAGUGUAGACAACAUUAGGCAAGACAGACCAAUGGUCUGACUCAGUGCAAGGGAGCCUCCUGUAAUCCUGCAUCCUAGAAACUGCUUUCCCCAGCCAGAAAUCUCUUAGCAACUCUCUUGCCGCCCAGAAAACUCCGGUCUCAGAGGCUGCAACCUCAACAAAGAAAAUUAACUUUAAACUCCUUGAAUCUGAAAUUGAUUGUGGUCAGGUUCGGGGUUUUUUAUUUUCCUUCUGCCUCACAUGCAAACUGCAAAAAAAGAGAGUUGUUUUGUUGUUUUGCAGCUUCCAAGAAAGGAGAGUGGCUAUGAUGACAGAAGUCCAUCCCGGUGGCCUGGUGUAUAACCACUGGCCACCCAAGGCCGUUCAUCAUGAUGUGAAACUGCUUUGC